UGCAGAUUUUUUGUCUUACAGGAAACAUUAUCUAUAAGAUACAUAAAAUCUAGUUAGGCUUCUGAGGAUAAGCUCAGGAGCAUUUCGGUUUGUAUACAAAAUGUUAAAUAGUCAAAUUUAGGCUUGAAAAUGGCCACAAUGUAUGAUUUUGUUAUAAUUUCAUCACUAUUAAUCACAUAGAAUCAAUUUACUUCAUUUAAGGGAAAAAAGCUUUUUAAUUUUAAAUAAAGCUAAGCACAUGCUAAAAUGAGUAUUAAUUAACCUGUAUUUUUUAUUGAGGUAAAAUUAUAAAUUAAAUAAAAUAUUUGUAUUGAAAAUUUUUAAAAGGAACUCGGCAAAACUUAAUUCCGCCUGUUUAUCAAAAACAUGGCUCCUUGUUGUUCCAUAUAAGGAGUCGGACCUGCUCGGUGAAUAUAUUUUAACAGCCGCGGU
rnacentral:rRNA from 1 species